GAAAAUGCAAAAUGAUAGUAAGAGUAUAGAUCAGGUUGAGUUUUCAAUCUCGAAGAGGAGGAAGAAGAAUGUCAAUGGUGCGAAGACUAAGGUUUGUGGAAAGGAAGUGAAGGAGGAGAACCUUGAUCAGAUAUGCAAGCAGUGCAAAAGUGGUUUGCACGGGGAAGUAAUGCUUUUGUGUGAUAGGUGUAAUAAAGGAUGGCACAUCUAUUGUCUGUCACCGCCAUUAAAGCAAAUACCUCCUGGAAAUUGGUAUUGCUUUGAGUGCUUGAACUCUGAUAAGGACAGUUUCGGUUUUGUGCCUGGAAAAAGAUUUAUGAUGGAAGCUUUUAAGCGUGUUGCCGAUCGAGCCAAGAGGAAGUGGUUUGGUUCAGAAUUUGCUUCACCUGCACAGAUUGAGACUAAAUUUUGGGAGAUUGUGGAAGGAUUGGCAGGUGAAGUUGAAGUUAUGUAUGGCAGCGACCUGGAUACUUCUGUGUAUGGAAGUGGUUUUCCAAGAUUAAAUGAUCAAAGGCCGGAAUCAGUUGAUCCCGAGUCGUGGGAUGAAUACUGUGCUAGCCCUUGGAAUCUGAAUAAUUUGCCAAAGCUGAAAGGUUCCAUGCUUCAGGCUGUCCAUCAAAAUAUUACUGGCGUUAUGGUCCCCUGGUUGUAUGUUGGCAUGCUGUUUUCAGCAUUUUGUUGGCAUUUCGAAGACCACUGCUUUUACUCAAUGAACUACCUGCACUGGUAUGCCUUUAUGACUUUGUUAUCUGAAAUGUCGAAUGCUCCUGUCAAUAGUGGCUUCAUCCAAUCAUUGAUCCACAGUACUGUCUGACAAUAGUUUAAUCUAAGGAUAGAUAUUCAGACCGUAUGAGACAUGAAAUGUUAACUCUGUUCAUUCCAUACAAAUGUUUUGUACAUCUCUGUCAACUUUAGGUUAGUAGAAAGGAUCAUUGUAAGCUUAAUUAGUUAUCUUGUUAAUAGGACAAUAUGAAAUAUCAUGAAUAUGUUCCAACUCUUAUUGGGCUUAGCGUUUUCUAUAUUUAUUGGUCUUACAGCAGUGCUUGAAUAAUUUCUAUUUCUUUUAUAUUCAUACUAUAUUAUUACUUAGAGCCUGGAAGUCUGUUCCGUAAUAACUCUUGCAUUUCGUAUCUGUUUGUCGGAAGCCUUCCUUAACUACUCUUAAUGUUAUGCCCUUCUGUUGGAUAGGUGUCUGUUAUAUAUCCUUCCAGUGUCUAGGCAGGUUUGUGAAGUCGGGUAAAGUAUCGGAGUGUGGGAAGCAUGUCUUGUGCCAACUGUACCGUGAACAUUUGUAUGAUUAUGAGAUGUAUUAUAAUGUUUUGAAUGAAGAUGGGACUAAGGGUUCUAAAAGGAAAAUGCAAAAUGAUAGUAAGAGUAUAGAUCAGGUUGAGUUUUCAUUCUCGAAGAGGAGGCGGAAGAAUGUCAAUGGUGCGAAGAAUAAGGUUUGUGGAAAGGAAGUGAAGGAGGAGAACCUUGAUCAGAUAUGCAAGCAGUGCAAAAGUGGUUUGCACGGGGAAGUAAUGCUUUUGUGUGAUAGGUGUAAUAAAGGAUGGCACAUCUAUUGUCUGUCACCGCCAUUAAAGCAAAUACCUCCUGGAAAUUGGUAUUGCUUUGAGUGCUUGAACUCUGAUAAGGACAGUUUCGGUUUUGUGCCUGGAAAAAGAUUUAUGAUGGAAGCUUUUAAGCGUG
rnacentral:lncRNA from 1 species